CACUGGGUGGUGCAAAUGGUUAACACAUUUGGUUGCUAACCAAAAGUUUGGAGGUUCAGGUCCCCCCAGAGG
rnacentral:tRNA from 1 species